AGAGUUUGAUCAUGGCUCAGAUUGAACGCUGGCGGCAUGCCUUACACAUGCAAGUCGAACGCGAAAGGGGGGCAACCCCCGAGUAGAGUGGCGAACGGGUGAGUAAUACAUCGGAACGUGUCCAGUAGCGGGGGAUAACCUCUCGAAAGAGAGGCUAAUACCGCAUACGACCUACGGGUGAAAGAGGGGGAUCGCAAGACCUCUCACUAUUGGAGCGGCCGAUGUCGGAUUAGCUAGUUGGCGGGGUAACGGCCCACCAAGGCGACGAUCCGUAGCUGGUCUGAGAGGACGACCAGCCACACUGGAACUGAGACACGGUCCAGACUCCUACGGGAGGCAGCAGUGGGGAAUUUUGGACAAUGGGCGCAAGCCUGAUCCAGCCAUGCCGCGUGAGUGAGGAAGGCCUUCGGGUUGUAAAGCUCUUUCGGCGGGGACGAAAAGGUCCGUGCUAACACCAUGGAUCCAUGACGGUACCCGCAGAAGAAGCACCGGCUAACUACGUGCCAGCAGCCGCGGUAAUACGUAGGGUGCAGGCGUUAAUCGGAAUUACUGGGCGUAAAGCGUGCGCAGGCGGUCUAUUAAGACAGGUGUGAAAUCCCCGGGCUUAACCUGGGAACUGCGCUUGUAACUGAUAGGCUGGAGUGUGGCAGAGGGGGGUGGAAUUCCACGUGUAGCAGUGAAAUGCGUAGAGAUGUGGAGGAACACCGAUGGCGAAGGCAGCCCCCUGGGCUAACACUGACGCUCAUGCACGAAAGCGUGGGG
rnacentral:rRNA from 1 species